UUAGGAAUAUUCCGCAAUGGGCGAAAGCCUGACGGAGCGACACCGCGUGAAGGAUGAAGCCCUUUUUGGGUGUAAACUUCUGUUCUGAGGGACGAAAUUUUUGACGGUACCUCAGGAGAAAGCACCGGCUAAUUCUGUGCCAGCAGCCGCGGUAAGACAGAAGGUGCAAGCGUUACUCGGAAUUACUGGGCGUAAAGCGUCUGUAGGCGUCUUUCCACGUCUGGCGUAAAAUUUCAGGGCUCAACCCUGAAUGCGUGCCGGAAACGAGAGAGAUCGAGUCAGUCAGAGGCAUCUGGAAUGUCGUGUGUAGGGGUAAAAUCCGUAGAUACACGAUGGAACGCCAAAAGCGAAGGCAGGAUGCUGGGACUGUACUGACGCUCAGAGACGAAAGCGUGGGGAGCAAAGGGG
rnacentral:rRNA from 1 species